AAUAUUGGACAAUGGGGGCAACCCUGAUCCAGCCAUGCCGCGUGUGUGAAGAAGGUCUNUGGAUUNUNAAGCACUUUAAGUUGGGNGGAAGGGCGUUAGGUUAAUACCCUGAAGUUUUGACGUUACCAACAGAAUAAGCACCGGCGAACCCGUUGCCAGCAGCCGCGGUAAUACAGAGGGUGCAAGCGUUAAUCGGAAUUACUGGGCGUAAAGCGGGCGUAGGUGGUUAAGGAAGAUGGGUGUGAAAUACCCGGGCUUAACCUGGGAACUGCUUUCAUAACUGCUGAGCUAGAGUACGGUAGAGGGUAGUGGAAUUUCCUGUGUAGCGGUAAAAUGCGAAGAUAUAGGAAGGAACACCAGUGGCGAAGGCGACUACCUGGACUGAUACUGACACUGAGGUGCGAAAGCGUGGGGAGCAAAC
rnacentral:rRNA from 1 species